UUGGCCGCCUACCCAUAUUUCAAAAAACAAAAAAAAAUUCACUUUGAAUCCUUCAUCGCUAAACCUCCCUGCUCGUUCUUCCUCGCCCACCUUCCUUCCUCCAUUAAUCACCGUCAACCACUCCCCAUCACCUCACCGGCACACCACCUGUACCACCGGAGGUCGGCGAAACACCACCACCUGCCACCUUUUCCUAUUCGCCGCCCCUCUCCCUCCUUCGAAGAUCACCCCCGCGCACUCCCUUUCACCCCUCUGCCGUGCACCAGCCAGCGCCACCGCCCCCCCGCUCCCGCAAACAACCUUCCACCAUCACCAUAAACCGCAGCCGCCCACCCCGCCAUUCUCCCUCACCCACGAAACCCAGCCGGCCAGCCUUCCCCUCGCCAUCUUUCUCCGCGCCGCCAGCCCUCCAUCUUUUCUCAUCCUGCGACGUUCCACCACAAACAACCACCGCCGGCCACCUGCACCAUUGUGGUCGGCGCACCACCGCACCACCUUCCCUCCUUCUCCACCUCUCCAAUCUUUCACCUUCACCAUUGUUCUAUUCAUGAAUUUAAAACCCUAACUUUGAAAUCAAUUUGGGGUUUUUUGGUUGUUUGUGGACAUUGGUAAAUUGUGUAGUAUUGUGGCUCGUUUGCGGAAUUCACAACUAAAUUAUGGUCUUUGUGGUGCACAAAAGAUAUUAAAAUUUCAAUUUUUCUAACGUUUAUUCACUUGAAUCAUAUUUUGAAAAGAAAUUUGGAAUAUUGAUGACAAUAUUGGUUGUUGAAUUCAAAUGGUUGUCGUUGUGAAUAUUAUAUGAAUUAUUUAUUAAGAUUGGUUAACGUUUGUUGAUUGUUGAGUUCAAAGUGUUAGCAUUGGGAUUGCUUGAACUAUUCGUUGGGAUUGAUCGUUGAAUGUCGAAGUAUGCACCGUCUUGGCCGGUUUAUUGGAGUAUUUUAAAUCGUGGUUGUUGCAUCAUGAAAGUAACUAAACCAACUAGCUUUCACCCAAAUCCACCACAUCUAUGGAGAUUGGCUCUUUGCGUCGUCAGUUUGAAGCUUCUGGCCACACCGCUUCUACUGUCGACUGUCCUACCGAGUCAUACUCGGCAGACGAGGCUCAUCACGAGUGAGCACUUUCCAUCUCUCUCCCUUGUUUGAGUUAUAUUGUUGCUAUUUUCACAGUGAGUGCACUGUGUUUUGUUUAGCUUGGGGGAGGGAUAUCUAUAUUUAUUGCUUUCUAGUAUAGUUUUAUUGUUUUUUUAGGUGUUGUACGCUUUGUACCAUCCAUUAGGGGUGGGAGUUUACGUGCAACAAAAAAAAUGUACUGCUUUCCUAGUGUUAUUGUUCAAUUUAGUUGCAUUUUUUUGCAUUCACAUGUCUUUAUACCCUACAUUGUGCAAUUGACUUUCAUACUAUGUUCGGGCUUUACUUGACUCUCUUGAGCUUCUUUUGAACUUAGUUAUGAUUAUGAAAUUCAAUCGGUCAUGCUAUACAUUGAUAACUGCUUGGCAUUGUGUGAACCAAUUGAAUGGUAUGCGGUAAGAUGUUGGUCUCGUGUCAAGAAUAGCUAGCCAAUUAUCUUGUAGGUCACCUUACUAUGUGUUUGUGUGAUUGAUGUGACUUGUUAUCAUAUGAUUUUGGCUUGAGAUUCAUUAGUAGCUUAGUUGCAACUCACGCAUGCCGCGUAUGACAGAGGCCAUUCUCUUAGGAAGCCUUCAGACGAAUUUAGAAACAUCAGUUCCUGCCUUUCACACCCAUGUUGUAGCCUUGUCCGUUUAUUCUUUUAACUCCACAAAAUUGAGCCCUAUUUGCCCCGUUGGUUACUUGUCCCGAGUCUAGCUUGGGGGAGCUUCGGUGUUCGUAAUGGUUUCAUUAAUGUUGAUUGAUUGGCACACUAAGCCAAUAGAUCGUGGUUCGAGGCUAUGUUUGGAUUUGUGGUUUGGAAAUGGUGUAUAUUAUUGUUGGCACCCAAGUUUAUAACAGUUAGCAUUAGUAUUUAUUUUUGUACUUUCAUUUUCAUCAAUUUAUUUCAUCUCAAAUUUGAAAAAAAAAUAGAAAAAAAAUAGAAAAAAAGGAAAAAAAAAAAAAAAAAAGGAAAAUCAAAGAAAAAUAAAAAAUAUGUUUUUUCGUUUUUGCAUAUAGUUUGAAGGCAAGGAAAGGGGAUUGAACAAAGAUCAUUGACAUUAUAUUAUGUUCUUCCCCUUGGUUAUAACUUGGUUGAUUGUUCGGGUUUCAUGGUUCGAUGGAGUUGGAUUUGCGGCAUUAUCACGCCGACGCAUAUAGUUCACAUUUGCUUCCCAAGUUGGACCUUACUCUCACUUUUUCCCAAAUUAUACCCUACCCUUCCUUUUCACCUAGCCCCAUUACAAGCUUAUUAUAAAGACCUCUUGAUCGGCAUGUUUGUUUUGUGAUUGACUGAAAAUCGUUUCUUGCUAUUGUCAUCUUACCCCAUGUUGCAUCAUAUAUUUAUAUUCUACAAGAUAUGCGGCGACGACUAGCUUGAUUGAGAAUAGUUACUGGCUAAGCUUGGUUGUUUCAAUUGUGGAUCAUGAUGCUUUGUGGUUCUAUUUGUAUCCGAGCUAGAUUUCUGUCUCAAUAACUCUGUUUGAUUGUUUGCUCGAGAGUUGGGUUGGUCUUACCAUGGUUUUAUGAAAGUCAUGUGCGUCUUGUUUCUCUAUCUUUGGUUUAGUGUUGCUUGGGGACAAGAAACAGUCUAGCUUGGGGAAAAACCACAAAAAAACGGGUUUUCUCUCCAGCAAUGGUGUGAUGCGCAGGAUAAGGUGAACUUCUUAACCUACACCCCGUUUUUUCCAUGGCCAGAAAGAAGAAGAAUCAGAAGCAUGACGAUGGGGGUUCUCAUGGGGAUGCUUCUGCUAGGUCUCCUACCCCACCAACUCGACCAAUGAACCAGAAUCAACGAAGAAAUCUUAUACCCAGCUCGAACUCUUUUAUGUCGAAAAAUGAAAUUCCGAGAAUGGCUCCGCCGCCUCACCCGAGUUCUGGCCCACCGUCGCAAGAACUCCUGGAUGUUAUUGAACAAUACCACCAGUCGGUUAGACGCCCUAUGACUAACUUGAAUCCUUCAACCCCGAAACCGCCUUCAAUGGUGGAAUUGAUGGCGAAUGUGUUGGCCGGAGAACAGGAUGCUAGUGCUUCACAUGAACGGUUAUAGACCAUCAUGACUAGCAUCAAUGGUAUUCUUUUGAACUCCUUGCCUAGUGGCCCUCCUUCUCCAACGCCGCCUCUUCGAGAAACGGAGCAACCGAUUGCAACAGGGGGUUCAUGGGCUCAAUUGUUCUCAGGGGGACAGCUUAAUGCUAAAGCCAGUUCGGGUACUCAACUGUCGGCUUUGUGCUCUCUGAUGGCGGUUGUUUACAGAAGUUCUAAGUUGGAAAUCCAUGUAUGUGUAUCUACUACGAACUUCUUGCGGAUUUCCGUUUUGCAGAUAAAUACCUGGAGGGAGACAUUUUGGCUCAAGGACUAUCGCUGGAAACCACAUUGUAUAUGGUUACAGAGAGACAUGAACCAUAGUUCUUUACUUGCUUUUUUGAUUGGGAUGUUUCAAAAUCACAGAUGGAUGGAAAUUCAUUUGAGAGAAAGCUUGCACUACUAAAGGGAGAAAAGAAGUUGGAGGCAAGUGUCCUGAAACCUUCCGGCAUUAUCAAUUACACAUCUUUCAGACUGAUUAUCCCUAAAGAGUCUGGUUAUAGUCAUGCAUAAGUUAUUCAUUUUAGUUAUUAUUUUGAAGCCCAAGAACAGUUAGUUUAUGCCUCUAA